rnacentral:rRNA from 1 species
AUGGCGAAGGUCCCUGCCGGCGAGUGGGUCCCCCACGUUGAGGCCUUCGUCGACGUCUCCCGCUCCCCCGCCCAGCACUCUGCGGGUGUGGAUGCUCUUGCAGCCUUGGUCAACAAGGACAAGCUGACGCUCUUCGAUUUGGUGUCUAAGAUGGACAUGUAUUUGACGACGACAGACCACAUUGUUAGAUCAAGAGGAAUACUGCUUCUGGGGCAAAUCAUGUCUCACAUUUCAUUUAAACGGUUAGAUGUCAAUGCCAUGACAACAUUGUCAGACUUCUUUAUAUCAAGAUUGUCAGAUUGGCAAGCACUGCGGGGAGCUCUUGUUGGAUGCUUGGCUCUAUUGCACAGAAAAUCAUCUGUUGGCACUAUUAUGGUUGCUGAUGUCAAAAGACUAGUCGAGGCUUUCAUAGCGGAUGUUCAAGUACAGUCACUUGCAGCUGCUGACCGCAAGAUGUGCUUUGAAAUUUUUAGCUGGAUACUUGAUCACUACCCAGAAGCUGUCAAGACAAUGGAUGAUGAAUUGCUAUACUGGAUCUGUCAAUCAAUCGAUGAAGAAAAAGACCCAGAGUGCUUGAAGCUUUCUUUUCAUGUGGUGGAAGUUGUCAUGAAGCUGUUUCCAGACCCAUCUGGUUUCGCAGACCAAUUUGCAAGUGACCUUUUUGAGAUUCUGAGCAAAUAUUUUCCUGUUUACUUCACACAUGGAGCCGGUGAUAAUUUAGGAGUUACAAGAGACGAACUUUCUAGGGCAUUGAUGCAUACCUUUUGUGCAAGUCCGUAUUUUGAGCCCUUUGCCAUCCCAUUGCUUCUAGAUAAACUUUCUUCCUCUCUUCCAUUAGCAAAGCUUGAUUCCUUAAAAUAUUUGGACAAUUGCAUUCACUGCUAUGGAGCUGAUAGAAUGGUUACACAUGCAUCAGCUAUUUGGUUUAAGUUGAAAGAAGUGCUUUUUAGCCUUUCUUCAGAUCAACUUGUAUCAUCAGGGUCACCUAAAGAUGCAGAGAAUAAGAAGAAUCAAAUAAUAUCAGAAGCUGAACGUUGCUUGAAGACUGCUGUUACAUAUAUACAUUCUUCGGAUAGAGAUAUUUUCAUCAAUUUGAUCUUGUUGGAUGAGGAUAUUGUGAAUAACAUCCAUUCUGUAACAACUGAAGAGAAGUCUGUCGGUAGUUCACUGCAAGCCCUUGGAAGUGUCGUUUCUAUUCUUGCUGGGUCAUCUACAUAUUUGUGCACCAGAGUUUUUCAAGCACAUUUUAAACGCUUGGUGGAUAUUUUGGGAAACUCAGCUGGUUUUGAUUCUCAACACCUGAGCAUCGCCAAUGGAUCAUCUCCUGCUGCUAUUAACUAUGGAGCUCUCUAUUUAUCUGUUCAAAUGCUUUCAUCCUGCCGAGCAGUCGCUGUGGCAUCUCGAGAAGGCGUCCCAGCAGAGGAGUCCUGGUGGCUUAUCUUAGAGGAAAAGUUGGAUCAAAUUAUCCAUCUUUUCGGAAAAUUGCUGACUAUUGAUUCUCAGCCUACCCAGUCAGCGGUCAGAAAAGAAUGUGUUUUGUUCGCUGUGAAAGGUUUGCUGAUACUUGCAACUAUCCCGGAACAAUGUUCACUUCCACUCGAAAAUGCUUAUGAGGAUAUUUUGCUGAUGCUUACCUUAGUAAUUACAAGCAAGUAUGAAAAUGCACAUUUGUGGAGAUUAUCAUUGAAAACAUUGACUAGCAUUGGCUCAUCUGCUGUGGAAUUACAUGCUUCUAAAAGAGAAAUGGUUUACAGUAGAAUUGUUGUUGACAAGAUUAUUUGUUUGGCUGAAUCUUGUGAUGCAUCGAUGCCUCUGAAUCUAAGACUUGAAGCAUGUUUUGAAGUUGGCACCGCUAGUGUGAACUAUAUGUUGAGGGUUGCCAGAUCACUUGAAGAAACUGUCAUCACAAAUAUCUCUCAGGUUAAUGGAAGUAUAGAAUGUGCGGACUAUGUAACCUGUCUGAUUGAUUGUUACUCUAGUCGUCUCCUUCCUUGGUUCUUUACUUCCGGUGGUCUCAAUGAACUUGCUUUGAGCUUUGCUCUGCGUCUCUGGGAUGAGAUUGGGGACUUGGUUACUCUGGAUCGAAUCAGAUCACAGGGUCUUCUUGACUCACUAAUGAUGGGAAUGAAGUUAUUAGUCGGAGUCUGCACAGAGGAACAACAGUUGUUGAUUGUUCAGAAAGCAUGCGUCUUUCUACUGAAUGGGCAUAUACCAGCUGCUCAUGCAUUAGCUUCUAUUUUCAAUAAAUAUCUACAGAAUUCAGAGUUCUCACACGAGAUUAAACUGGAUAAAAUACUUGAUGUUAUUCUUGGGGGAUGUUUCUCAAUUGUAUUACCCAGCAGCAAUUUGAAGAUGUCUCGCUCUUCUGCUGCCACUUCGGAUAAUGCUGACUUCUCAGACAGCUUGCCUGGAAGCAUAGGUUCAAAGAUUGAUAUAUUAUGUGGCUUGGCAUGGAUUGGCAAAGGAUUGCUUAUGAGAGGAGAUGAGAAAGUGAAGGAAAUUUCAAUGUUUCUUCUUAAAUGCCUCUCAUCAGAUGCUUCUCUAGCAACAGCUGCAGCUGAUGCAUUCCAUGUGAUGAUGGGUGAUUCAGAAGUCUGCCUAAAUAAAAAGUUCCAUGCAAGAAUAAAGUUUUUGUAUAAGCAGCGUUUUUUCUCAAUACUGAUGCCAAUUUUUCUCUCUAAAAUUAAGGAGACCUCAGAGCUGACAACAAAAUUGGUGAUAUAUCGAGCAUUCGGACAUAUUAUUUCCAAUGCUCCAGUGUCAGCAGUUAUAACAGAAGCCCAUCAGAUUUUGCUCGUGAUGGUUGAUAUCUUAGCCAAAUUGAGCAUGGAUAAUCAGGAUAAAGAUCUAGUGUAUAGUUUGUUGCUUGUUUUAUCUGGAAUGCUGAUGGAUGAAAAAGGCAAAGAAUGCAUUGUGGAAAAUAUCCGCAUCAUUAUCAGUGUACUUGCACAACUUGUUUCCUAUCCUCACAUGAUGGUUGUUCGGGAGACUGCCUUGCAAUGUUUUGUUGCCAUGUCUAGUUUUCCCCACUCAAAAGUUUAUCGCAUGCGGCCACAGGUCCUACAAGCAGCAAUCAAGGCUCUUGAUGAUAAGAAAAGGGCUGUUCGCCUAGAGGCUGUUCGAUGUCGACAAACAUGGCAAUCAUCAUUUGCUUAA